rnacentral:tRNA from 2 species
GCGGGGGUCGCCAAGCGGCUAAGGCAAUCGGCUGCAACCCGAUCAUCGGGGGUUCGAGUCCCCCCCCUCGCU